rnacentral:rRNA from 1 species
GCGCGCGUGCCUAAUACAUGCAAGUCGAGCGGACAGAUGGGAGCUUGCUCCCUGAUGUUAGCGGCGGACGGGUGAGUAACACGUGGGUAACCUGCCUGUAAGACUGGGAUAACUCCGGGAAACCGGGGCUAAUACCGGAUGGUUGUUUGAACCGCAUGGUUCAAACAUAAAAGGUGGCUUCGGCUACCACUUACAGAUGGACCCGCGGCGCAUUAGCUAGUUGGUGAGGUAACGGCUCACCAAGGCAACGAUGCGUAGCCGACCUGAGAGGGUGAUCGGCCACACUGGGACUGAGACACGGCCCAGACUCCUACGGGAGGCAGCAGUAGGGAAUCUUCCGCAAUGGACGAAAGUCUGACGGAUGCAACGCCGCGUGAGUGAUGAAGGUUUUCGGAUCGUAAAGCUCUGUUGUUAGGGAAGAACAAGUACCGUUCGAAUAGGGCGGUACCUUGACGGUACCUAACCAGAAAGCCACGGCUAACUACGUGCCAGCAGACCGCGGUAAUACGUAGGUGGCAAGCGUUGUCCGGAAUUAUUGGGCGUAAAGGGCUCGCAGGCGGUUUCUUAAGUCUGAAUGUGAAAAG